rnacentral:rRNA from 1 species
AGCAGCCGCGGUAAUUCCAGCUCCAAUAGCGUAUAUUAAAGUUGUUGCAGUUAAAAAGCUCGUAGUUGAAUUUCGGGGUUAGCAGGUCGGUCGUGCCAUUGGUAUGAACUGGUCUCGCUGAUCCCUCCCUCUUGACGAACUGUGAUGCCAUUAAUUUGGUGUCGCAGGGAAUCAGGACUGUUACUUUGAAAAAAUUAGAGUGUUUAAAGCAGGCUCGCGCUUGAAUACAUUAGCAUGGAAUAAUGAAAUAGGACGUUUGAUCCUAUUUUGUUGGUUUCUAGGAUUGACGUAAUGAUUAAUAGGGAUAGUUGGGGGCAUUAGUAUUCAAUUGUCAGAGGUGAAAUUCUUGGAUUUAUUGAAGACUAACUACUGCGAAAGCAUUUGCCAAGGAUGUUUUCAUUAAUCAAGAACGAAAGUUAGGGGAUCGAAGACGAUCAGAUACCGUCGUAGUCUUAACCAUAAACUAUGCCGACUAGGGAUCGGAUGAUGUUAAUUUUUUAAUGACUCAUUCGGCGCCUUACG